rnacentral:lncRNA from 1 species
UAACAGGCCUCUGUGUAUCUGGGCAGGGAGUGAUAUGAACAGGAAGAAGAGAGAGGCAACGGGAGAUGGCGGGGGGAAAAAUCAGCUUAGAGGAGAAAACAGCAGAAACAUGCCCUGCGAAGUUCCAGCCAUCGAUGGCCCUUUGUAGUUUGGAAGCUUACUCUUUUCUGUACCACAAAUUCCAUCUCUGGCCCACUCCUGCGUCGAGGCUCUCGCUUCUUCCCUGUAACUGCUCCGUAGUCCGUGCCAGCUGCUAA